UAAUUUUAGUUAUAUAUUGAUUUCUUGAUUUACUUUACUAUCAUUAUUUAACUUUGUUUAUUUGUAUUUUUUUUCUAAUUAUUUUUUUUAUUAUAAAUUUUAAUCCUGAAAAACGUAUAUAAUUUAUAAAAAUAUUAUUCAGAACUUUUAUUGUCAAAACGUUUUAAUUUCCCUGCAACUUACGCCACUCUCUCAGAUCAUCUGAUGACAAAAUGUACAAACUUUGGAAAGGCACUAGGCGCAUAACACCCAUUGAAAUGAAAAUCAACAUUUUAGUUAAAAUUACAAAUUUACUUUUAUUACAGAAAAUUCAUAUUUUUUUCUGGCGUUUCUUAGCCUAUUUUUUCUACUUAUAAUAUAAUAACUUUAUGAAAAGGUUUAUUUGUGUAACUUUAAUUUGAAUACAAACAAAACAAAAAACACUAAAUUAUAAAUCAAUUAAACAAAAAUUUUACUAUUACACUACUUGUUUGUUAAAUUUUAGUUAAAAUUAUAUGAACAAUACAGCUAAUACAGUGAUAAACACAUAAAACAUAUAAAUACAGACAAACAUACUUACAAAUACACAUUGGAGACGUGAAAAAUUGCAAUUAUUGACAACAUUUGGCAACUUUUAUUGCUAAGACACAAUGUUGCUGCAACAAAUGUGCGUUCAGCAACAUGUUGCUAGCAUUUGCCACUUGGUAUUUCACGUAUUUGUGUACAACAACAACAGCGUUGACACAACUCAGUACACACCCACAUAUUUACACACAUACAGAAUACAGUUAACUCCACAUGCAGUUGCAGAUCUUGUAAAACUUAAGUAAAGUAAAAGCUUAAAUUAAUUAAAUAUUGUGAAUUAUGUGUAAUAAUUUCAUUGUACCUACAUCCUUGGCACUUUACAGUGUGACAAUGUAAUUUAAAUUUAAUUUUUAAUUGACUCCAAUUUUUUAUGGAACAAAUUAAAAUUACCAAAUUUUAAUGAGAACACCUACAUACAUACAUACUUAUAUAAGCAUUAAAUAAAUAUUUUUUUCUUAAUAUUAAGUGAUAAAGCCCAGUGUGUAACUCUGCAUUAAAGCAUACAUACAUACAUACAAACAAACAUGAAUUGUAUGUAUAUGUAUUCAUAUGUUCGCAUCACUUUUCUCCUUUAAUCCUCACUUAUACUCCAUUUAAAGCAACAAAAAGAAAGCAUUUAUGCAUUUUAUUGCACUCAAAAAUAAUUAGUAACAAAGAAGUAAAUAAGCGAAUUGCAAAAAGUAUAUAUAUAUGAAAACAAAAACAAAAAAAUAUGUAUGUAUACAAAUAAGUGAAGUUUUCUACGCGUUUUGUGAACUGUCCGGAGCGCGUAAGUUUUGUUUAAUUUUCGCGAAAAUUCUCAAAAUGUGAAACGAACACUUUAAAUGUGCAUACAUACAUACAUACAAACAUACAUACAUAGUUAUAUGCUUAUAUUCUAUUAAUGUAAUUUAGAUAAAUAUUUUAGUUGAUUUUGUCUAUUAAAUAACAAUUUAAAGCAUUAUUACUUUUAAUGAAUUCUUAAAAUAAUAUUGAAAAAACAAAAACCAACAAAAAUGUAGCAAACUACAACAACUUGAAGCAGGCAAAGCGCAUAUGUAUGUAGAUCCUACAUUCAUACAAGUUUUUUUUUAUAUAUUCAUUACAUUAUAUUACCGAUUAAUAUUGAAAUUUUUGUUGACUAUUCAAAAUAUUUAAUAAAUUAUUUUUUAAUGCAAAAUAUAA